UGGUGGAGUGAUUUGUCUGCUUAAUUGCGAUAACGAACGAGACCUUAACCUGCUAAAUAGCCAGGCUAGCUUUGGCUGGUCGCCGGCUUCUUAGAGGGACUAUCGGCUCAAGCCGAUGGAAAGUUUGAGGCAAUAACA
rnacentral:rRNA from 1 species